ensembl:lncRNA
GGGGGCAAAACCGCCUCUCCGUGAGGGGUUGGGGGGAGUGGGGCUCCACGUGCAUGCGCGUGCAUGCGUGUGCAUGGGUGCACGCACACCACAUGCAGUUGCAGGUGUAGACCUGCAGGCAGAUCCAGCGGGGUGCAGCAGUACGGAGCCCUGCGACCUCUCCUCGUGGCAGCACUGCUCUGCACACAGCCCCGGCGUUGGGGGGGAACAGAGGAGGGGAUGGGCUGAGAACAGGGGAAGGAACGGAGCUCCCCUUCUGCUCUUGUGGGGCUGCGCAUCCCCGUUGGGUUCCAAAAGCGGGGAUGGACGGACAGAUGGACGGACUGACAGACAGCACAAACCCAGGCAGAGCUGCUGGGCUGGGGAUGCCAGAGGUGCCAACCCGCAGCUCCAACCCCGUUCCCCGCAGGGUCCCCCCACGAGGUGUGGGAUGCACUGCGCUGCCGGGGGGGGAGUUUGGCCCCAAGGUGAAAGGCGAAGGCGCAGCCAUAGGGCUGUCCCACGGGCGGCCGCCUCUGUAUGCAGUUUAUUCCCUCGUUAAUAAUUAACCAGGAGCGGCACCGCGGGCACCCCCAGCCCACUGGCCUUGCAGGGCCAGCUGACGAGCUCUGGUCGGGCUGACUUGGUUAAUUAACCACACGAUGAACACAUUUCAUAGGGCUGCGUGGAGCUCGGGCCUGAGGGACCCCAACGCUGCAGGACCCCGUCGCUGUGUCCCCCCAGUCCUGCGCCCCCCCCGUGUCCCUGUGCCCUUUCGCCCUGUCCCCUUUCCACCCCCCCGAGUCCCCAUCCUUUUGUCCCCUUCUGUCCCGUGUCCUUCUGCCCUCUCCCCAUCCCAGUCCUACAAUCCCAGCCCUGUGCCCUUCUGCCCUCUGCCCAUCCCCGCGCCUCUGGCCCCAUCCCCAUCCCCAUCCCCUUCUAUCCCCAUCCCCUCCGUCCCCAUCCCUGCGCCCCUCUGCCCCGCUCGUGUCCCCGUCCCCCUCCCCGUCCCGUCCGUCCCGCCGUGUCCCCAUUGCGCGCACCCACGCG